rnacentral:rRNA from 1 species
GAAUCUGUCCGUUGGUCGGGCUUAACUGUCCGUACUGAUGUGAUGGGUUCUUACCUUCUGAAUAACCAGCAUGCCAUUAGUUUAGUGUGUUGGGGAAGCAGGACUAUUACCUUGAAAAAAUUAGAGUGCUCAAAGCAGGCUAGUGCCUGAAUACAUUAGCAUGGAAUAAUAAAAUAGGACGGCAUGGUUCUAUUUUGUUGGUUUCUAGGAUCACCGUAAUGAUUAAUAGGGAUAGUUGGGCU